rnacentral:ncRNA from 1 species
GUUUCAGGGCGAGGUGAAAUUCCUCACUGGCAGUAACCGCAAGCAAGCAAUUGCAAGGCGGAAGUCUGCGACCCCGUUGGCGAAAGCCGCGGGCUGAUCCGGUGAAAAUCCGGGACCAACGGUUAAAGUCCGGAUGGAAGAGG